rnacentral:rRNA from 1 species
CUAUGCGCCUUGCCAGCCCGCUCAGGUGUGCCAGCCCCGCGGUAAUACGUAGGUGGCAAGCGUUGUCCGGAUUUAUUGGGCGUAAAGCGAGUGCAGGCGGUUCAAUAAGUCUGAUGUGAAAGCCUUCGGCUCAACCGGAGAAUUGCAUCAGAAACUGUUGAACUUGAGUGCAGAAGAGGAGAGUGGAACUCCAUGUGUAGCGGUGGAAUGCGUAGAUAUAUGGAAGAACACCAGUGGCGAAGGCGGCUCUCUGGUCUGCAACUGACGCUGAGGCUCGAAAGCAUGGUAGCGAACAGG